UUACACAAGAAGGUUUUGGAUGCUCGCCAGCCGCAGCAUCGAACAUCGGAGAUAGGGAUGAUUCUUGCUCUGAAUAGUGUCUUCUGUAUACAGUAUAAACAGAAUUCCAUGUAGAAAUUCCACCAUAUUUGAACAGAAUGACUGUCUGGUUCAUAAUGUGGACAGCACUCUUGGUAAUGGCUACAGAAGCUGUUCCAUGCCAUUACACCCAUCACUGUUCAGACUGUGACAGAGAGACAGGGGAUUGCCUCUCUGAGUGUGACACUGGGUAUUAUGAUCGACAAUGUAAGUCUACCUGCAGCCGGAACUGUAGGAAUAACAAAUGCGUGCUGUCAGAACAUGCUAGCGAUAACUGUACUGAUGGUUGUGUGCCAGGUUAUUCUGGCAUUGGGUGCAACAUACCAUGUG